UACGGAGGAUCCAAGCGUUGUCCGGAUUUAUUGGGUUUAAAGGGUGCGUAGGCGGUCUAUUAAGUCAGUGGUGAAAGUUUGCGGCUUAACCGUAAAAUUGCCAUUGAAACUGAUAGACUUGAGUUUGGUUGAGGUUGCCGGAAUGUGUCAUGUAGCGGUGAAAUGCUUAGAUAUGAUACAGAACACUGAUUGCGAAGGCAGGUGACUAAACCAAUACUGACGCUGAGGCGCGAUAGCGUGGGGAGCAAACAGG
rnacentral:rRNA from 1 species